UAUACAUCACGGGGUAUACAAGAGAAUGUUAAGGAUUUUAUAGGUUGGCGGAUUUCGUAAUGUUGAGUGGAGUCUUGAAGAGUUGAUUGCGGAAGAUUGAAGAAAAGAUCUAAAUUGAAGGAAAAAGACUCACUCGUAAAGAUCGGCACCUAAGGUAUGAAGAAAAGAUCAUUUGUGGUGAAGAUAUUUGAUUAGAAUAAGUUCAGAAGGCUUAGAUUGUUUUAAAAAUAUUUUACUGAACUUUCUGUGUUCAGGGACCGGUCCCUGAGGUCAAGAGACCGGUUCCCCUAAGGUCCUCACUACGUGAACUUUGAUGCAACCGGUCCCCUGAGAUGAGAGACCGGUUCCCGAACCUUGGUAUUUCUGUCGCGUAGCGAGGGACCGGUCUCAAGCUUGAGAGACCGGUUCCCGAACGUUGUGAUUUUGGUCACGCAGCGAGGGACCGGUUCCUCACUUGAGAGACCGGUCUCUCACAGACCGGUCUCCUCGAGAAGACCGGUCUUUGAGGACGACACAGGUUUUCAAAAAAGACUUUUUGCAAUCCUAGUCUACUUCUAAGUCUUCUAAAUAUAUAAAUAAGCUAUGUGGGUCAUCUAAAAGUUUAAGGCUUUGAAUAUUUACAGAUUCUAAACCCUAGAAACUUGUUUUUUUCGUUUCAAUGUUUCGAUUCACAUAACGAGUUUCUAACAAUCAACAAUCGGCUCGAUUCUUCGUUUUUACUCGCGAACUCAUACGAGAAUCAAGUAGAUUUUUGAUUAAAGGUGAACUCUCAUAGCUUAUGGUAUUCAAAGGUUAAAUCAUCACAAAUCUUCGAUUCUACAAGCUCCGGAAGGAGGUUCGACGCAUGGAUCUCGUGUGAAGCCGAGGAUUCGGUGGACGCUUCGAGAAGUUGAGGCGUUGACGCUGCGAAGAGUUGCAGCAAGGUCGAUUGGCGGAUUCCUGUCGAUCGAGGACCGGCGAAGAUCACCAUCAACAAGAAAUCGGUAAAUUCAGUCGUGUAUUUUUGUCAAAAUCACUUGUACUCAAGUUUUCUUAGUGGAUUUUCUUCGCGUGAUCGGUCCCGUGGGUUUUUCACUCCGAAUUGGAGUUUUCCCACGUUAAAUUCUCGGUGUGCUGUUUUAUUUUCCGCUACUUUGUUUUAUUUGCAUCGAGAUUUUCGAGUUUGCCGUUUUUUCACCUAUUCACCCCCCCUCUAGGUGUUACUUACCUUUUAGAUCCUCGGGAUCCACAUCUUACAAGUGGUAUCAGAGCGGGUAUAGGUUGUAAUACAUGGCUGAGGGCGGUAACAUCAAUCGACCCCCGCUCUUCGAUGGCACUAAUUACGCUUAUUGGAAAGUCCGUAUGAGGGCGUUUCUUAUUGCUAUCGACGAGCGGGUAUGGCAAGCCAUUGAAUUCGGGUGGAAACAUCCUACCGAAGUUGUCGAGAAUGUUACCGGUCCGAAACCUAGAAAUAAAUGGACGAAAGAGGAAAAUGAACUAUCUUCGUUCAACGGGAAAGGUAUCAAUGCUUUAUUCAAUGCUUUAAAUCAAACUGAAUUUUCUCGCGUCUCGGCGUGCGAAACCGCCAAAGAGAUUUGGGACACUUUGCGAGUUACACACGAGGGUACAAGCUUGGUUAAGAUUCAAAAAUUGCAAAUGCUUACUAGUAGAUUUGAUUCCAUUCGUAUGGAAGAACAUGAAUCUUUUACCGAGUACUAUACUCGUUUGCAAGACAUUGUAAACACGUGUGCUAACUUGGGCGAGAAAAUUCCCGAUUCCAAAAUUGUUCGAAAAAUUUUGAGAACCCUUCCCGAACGAUUCCGUCCUAAGGUUGCGGCUAUUGAAACGGUCAAACAUCCUGAUGAACUCAAGGUAGAAGAAUUAGUAGGUGCUCUUCAAACUUAUGAAAUGACUUUUCCUUCUAAUUCGUCUUCUUCCAAGUCUUUUUCUAAAGCCUCAGGGAUGGCUCUAAAAUCAACAAAAGGAGAUGUCACUUCAACCUCAUCAGAUUCAGAGUCGGAGCAAAGCCUGGAGGACUUUGAAAAGCAACUAGCACUUCUAACAAAGAAGUUUCGUCGGAACUUUAGAAAGAAGUUUCCUCCCAAGUCUACUUCUUCCAAGACAAACAAAUCUAAAGGGGGUUCGUCUUCUUCUUCCUCAUCAAAAUACAGAAAAUCUGAUAACUCUCAAAAGGACUCCACAAAAGAGAAGAAAAGCGGUGAAGGUCAAAUUCAAUGCUACAAGUGUAGGGGCUUUGGCCAUAUAGCAUCUGACUGUCCUAAUAAAAAGUCGUUGAAGAAGAAAGCGAUGCAAGCUAUUACUUGGGACGACUCCUCAUCUGACGAUUCCACUUCGAGUGAAGAGGAUGUAAAUGCCACGGCACUAAUUGCACAGGAUUCAACUUUCAUGUGUUUAGCAUCUGCUGACUCGAUCUCUAUGACAUCUAUACAAGAGAAGUCAUCUUCGGAGAACUCAUCAGAUGAAGAAUCGGACGAAGAUGACAUGGUCGCAGCAUAUCAACAAUUGGUUGUUGAAUCAAAGAAGAUGGCUAAACAUAACAAGAGACUGCGGCGAAGUCUACAUGAGUUGGAACAAGAAAAUUCAAAAUUGGCCUCACUAACAAAGGAUCUAGAGCAAGAAAGAGAUGGGUUGACCAAGGCUUACAACUCUUUACUUGAGAAGUGUUCGUUACUUGAAAAAGAAAAGGAGACUCAGGUGGAGAACAUCAAUUUUCUUACCAAGCAAAACUCAGAAGCUAGAGAAGCAAAUAUGGAAUUCACCAAGACGAUCAUUCAACUGAAGUCGGAUUUGAACCAAUUUUCAUCUGGCUCGAGCAAACUAGACAAGAUGCUUGGACUUGGUCAAACAAAUAAACUUGGACUUGGUUAUGAACGGACAUAUAUUGAUCAAGUUACGAAGAAAGAUGAUGGAAACUCGUCAACUGCUGUACCUAAACUUUAUGGUAAGUUUGUCUCUCCUAAAAACAAUUUGACUAACAAAGCCUGUCAUAUAUGUGGUGUUUUAGGACACAUAAAGAAAUUCUGCUACCAAAAGGGAAAGAGCUCAAUAGCACCCUUGAAGAGUGAUCCUAAAACGACAACGAAGUCAACUGUGAUUCCAAGGAAGAUAGAACAUAAGAAGAGACAAACUUGGACACCAAAUACUCCGAAGCCAAAGGCAAAACAAGCGUGGAAACCAAAGAAGGAGGAUAUGAAGAAGAAGUCAAUUCAAAUCGUCGACAAGCCACGAUCAACAAAAGCAAGUGAACUGACACAGCCCAAAACACGUAAGGUUUGGGUGCGCAAAGGUGAACUCUUCCCAUGCCUAGUUAUUCACACUUCGCUUCAUGCUUACGAUAACUCAUCAUGGUAUCUGGAUAGUGGUUGUUCCCGUCAUAUGACCGGAGAUAAAAAUUGGUUUACUUCUUUGACCAAAAUCUCCGGAGGACUUGUUGUUUUUGGGGACGGUCGAUCGUCAAAAAUUGUUGGAAAAGGAACAGUGACUAUCUCAGAUGGCCCUACGUUGAACGAUGUUUUUUAUGUUGAGGGGCUCAAAUCUAAUCUCGUAAGCAUAAGCCAACUGUGUGAUGAUGGGUAUUCUGUGAAUUUUUCUGAUAAAGAAUGCCAUGUGACUCGUGAUGACAAUCUGUUCUUAAAGGGCAUUAGAUCUCAGAAUAAUUGUUAUGUAGUUCCUAGUUCGUCCACUGAACAUUGUAACCUAGCGUCAUUAGAAACUGAAACUUUAUGGCAUGAACGACUAGGUCACAUAAACUUUAAGGAGCUAUCAAAGAUAACCAAGAAGGAGGUAGUUAGAGGUGUACCUAAGAUUGAUUUUAAAGAGAACACUGUGUGUGGGGGUUGCCAAUUGGGGAAACAAACUAGAUCCACACAUAAGAACUUGAACCACUUAGGGACAACUAAGCCUUUAGAGUUACUUCACAUGGACUUGAUGGGACCAUCUAGGAUUCAAAGUUUGGGUGGAAAACGUUAUAUCUUGCUUAUUGUUGAUGAUUUUACUCGCUUUGUAUGGAGUGCCUUCUUACGAGAAAAAGCUGAUACUUUUAAUUCUUUUUCUGAAAUCUGUCUUCGUCUUAUGACUGAACGAAAUGAUAAAAUUGUACGCAUUCGAAGCGAUCAAGGGGGAGAAUUCAUAAAUUCUAAAUUUGUUGAUUUCUGUGUUUCAAACGGUAUAAAACAUGAAUUCUCGGCCCCCUAUACACCCCAACAAAACGGAGUGGUUGAACGUAAGAAUCGGGUUGUACAGGAGAUGGCUCGUGUUAUGCUUCAUAGUAAGAAAAUUGCUUUACAUUUUUGGGCCGAAGCAGUUAACACAGCUGUCUAUGUUAUCAAUCGGAUUUAUGUACGUCCGGGCACUUUGAAUACGCCUUAUGAACUUUGGCUUGGUAGAAAACCUAACAUUAAAUACUUUCGUGUCUUCGGGAGUAAAUGUUUUAUCCUUCGGGAUCGUGAAAAUCUUGGAAAAUUUGACUCUCGCAGUGACGAAGGCAUAUUUCUUGGUUAUUCUACUACAAGUCGUGCUUAUCGUGCGUACAAUUUACGAUCUAAGACGGUGAUAGAGUCUAUCAAUAUAAAAGUAGAUGAAGCUUCUUCUGUAAGUUCUUCUGUGAAUGGUUCUUCUAAUUCUUUGAUGAAUGACGAUGAUAAUGAUUCUCCGUUUGUAAUGCCUGUGAAUGAUGAUGUUUCUAUACCUGAUAAUUCCAUUGCAUCUUCUGAAAACAUUGCAUCAAAUGAUUCAUCUGAGCCACAAAACACCACGCCUGAAAUCCCUAGCGGAUCUCCUGAAACUAUUCCCCUGACUGAGUCAAGAGAUCAUCCUUUGUCAAAUGUGAUUGGGGAUCCUAAUGUUGGUGUGCGAACAAGAAGUCAGUUACAAUGUGAAUUUGCAUGUUAUGUUUCUUUGAUCGAGCCAAAGAAUGUUGACGAAGCUCUUGUUGAUGAAUAUUGGAUAAAUGCCAUGCAAGAAGAACUUGGUCAAUUUGUUCGCAAUGAUGUAUGGGAAUUGGUGCCUCGUCCUGAGCAACAACACAUUAUUGGUACCAAAUGGAUCUUUAAGAAUAAGAAAAAUGAGGAUGGUACUAUUGUGCGGAACAAAGCGAGACUUGUGGCUCAGGGGUACUCACAAAUUGAGGGAAUAGACUUUGAUGAAACCUUCGCCCCGGUUGCCCGUCUUGAAUCUAUUCGUAUCUUGUUCGCGAUUGCCUGUCAUUUUAAAAUCACUCUUUUUCAAAUGGAUGUUAAAAGUGCAUUUCUAAACGGAUUUUUAAAAGAGGAAGUUUAUGUUGAACAACCGAAAGGUUUCAUAAACUCAAAAUUUUCAAAUCACGUUUUUCGACUGAAAAAGGCACUUUAUGGACUAAAACAGGCUCCGCGCGCAUGGUACGAACGCUUGACAAAAUAUCUUUUGGAAAAGGGCUACAACCGAGGGGGAGCGGAUAUAACUCUCUUUGUAAAACACUUGAAGGAUAAUUUCAUUGUGGCACAAAUCUAUGUGGAUGACAUAGUUUUGGGGGCUAUUAAAGAUAAGGAUGCCGCUGAUUUUGCAAAGUUAAUGACCAGCGAGUUUGAGAUGUCGAUGAUGGGGGAGCUUAAUUAUUUCCUUGGACUUCAAGUUAAACAAUCAAAAGAUGGAAUUCAUUUGUCUCAGACCAAGUAUGCAAAGGAACUGGUUAAGAAAUUUGGAUUGGACAAUGCAAAGGAUUUUGACACUCCAAUGGGUACAAGUAACAAAGGACUGGGAUUGAAUUCAGAAGAUCAGAGUGUGGAUGAGAAACAAUACAGAAGCAUGAUUGGUAGCCUAUUGUACUUGACUGCGAGCAGACCAGAUAUUGCGUUUAGUGUUGGAAUUUGUGCUCAUUAUCAAGCUAACCCUAAGGAAGUACAUCUGAAAGCGGUUAAAAGGAUCAUUCGGUAUGUUAAAGGAACAACCGAGUAUGGCCUCUGGUAUCCUAUGGGAACAUCUCUUGAUCUAAUCGGCUACUCAGAUGCUGACUGGGCAGGCUCCGCAGAUGAUCGGAAAAGUACUAGUGGAGCUUGUUUUUACAUUGGCCACCGUUUGGUUGCUUGGCACAGUAAGAAACAAAAUUAUAUUGCACUUUCCACUGCAAAAGUUGAAUACAUUGCGGCCGGAAGUUGCUCUACUCAAUUGAUCUGGAUAAAGAGCUUACUAAGCGACUAUCGGAUCCCUUCCACCACUCUUACUAUUCUGUGUGACAACACAAGUGCAAUUAAUAUUUCUAAAAAUCCUGUUUUACAUGCUCGAACAAAACAUAUCGAACUAAGAUAUCACUUUUUAAGAGAACUAGUUGAAUCAAACAUUUUACAACUUGAAUAUAUUUCAACUGAAAAUCAACUUGCAGAUAUUUUAACCAAACCUUUGGAUCAAAAGAAUUUUCUGCAUUUAAGAAAGGCAAUUGGUAUGAAUUCUUCGAACUAAAUAUAUUCGUGUGGGCCAUAGAUCAUAUGCAUGUUGCAUUUUUACCUGCAUGUAUUCCGAUAUGUUCUGAUUAUGCUUAAGAGAGGAUUGAAUUUCAUGAAUGAUAUUGCUGUUUUAGAAGAUGAAUUGGUCUGUGACUUUAAUUAUUUCAUAUUUAAUUAUUGAUUGAUCACUGUCAGGGUUAUUCUUUAUUGGCCAUAUUUUUGAAUGAUCAAAUCUGUAAGGACUGAGAUUUUUGCAGUGUAGUUAAACUCUCAGUUGACGAUGUUUAUGUGUGUAAUUUAAUUACAUAAGCACUCGUCAAGUUUCAGAAGAAAAUGAGCUAAAAUGGAGAAGAUACGCGAUUUUUAGUUUUCACUUAAGUGAAUAGUAACUCCGGUUUUCCGGAGAAGCCACGGAGUAGAGUUGGCUUCUGGUGCGUAUUGGACUCCGUUCAUAGCAGUCCAAUAGCUCGUUUCGACCGGUUCAGCUAUUCUGGAACUAUUGGCGCUGACGGAUUUUGGUUUUGAUGCACGGAUUUUGAGAAAAUCUGAUAAUACGUGUUUUAUAUGUAAUUGUGCGUGAUAUUUGGCCUUUUCGAGAGAGAGUGGAUUUCGUCGCGAAUCCGUGGUCAAUCGAGGUGAACCAAAAUUGUAGCUUUGUUAUCUCCGAGGUGCUGAUCGCACUGGUGCGAUCCGUUCGCAAAUCCGACGGACGGAUCUGCGAAGAUCGCACGUUGAUCGAGGAGAGGUCGGUGAGGGCAAAAUGAUAUUUUCGCGAAAGUCGCGAUAUUUUAUGUACCGUUUCGCGUGGGAUCGCAUGUGGAGGGGUGUUCGCACGUUUUACACGCACUGUGAAGGACUCAGUAAUAAAUACUGAGGUUUGGUGGACUUAUUUGCAAAGUUGCACCUUGGCAUUUAUAGCUCCUAGGGUUUUGAUCCCCUAACCCUAACCCUAGCCAGCCCCCAGCUACCCUAGUCGCCCCUGCUACCUUCACCUUGCUCGCCCGCCCUAGCCGCGCACCCCCGGCCGCCGCCGGCUGAGCCCCGGCCGCCGCCGAGCCACCACCCAUCUUUCUUCCCAUCCCUCUCUCUAUUUCCCUCGGGUUAGAGCCUGGCCGAGGCUGCAGUGCCUCUGGGUCCGUAGCCGGCGUCGUCCCGACCUCGUCGAAGUCUCCCCCGCCGGCCACCGACGCCCCGAGCCGCCUGGAGCGCCGCCGCAGCCGCUCCAGCCGCCUGCAGCUUCCCAGACCGAGCGAGGCCGAGGCAAGCUUGCAGCCCUUCCCUCGCGCCGCCGCCGCUUGGGGCCGCACCCGAGACAUCCCUCCGACCUCCUGCAACCCUCCUCCGCCGUCCCCGACCGGCCCAGGCCGCCGCCGUGGCCGCCAUUGCCCGUGGAACCCGUGCCCUAGCCGUGUAAGCUCGGUUUAUCGCUUGUUUAUCGUAUUCCGUUGAUUGCAUUUGUAUAGUUGUAGAUAGACAUGUAGAGCAGGCUUGCACUCGUAUAUUGCAUCUCUGUGGACCUUGGGUCCAGGCAACACAUCGACUCUCUUGUCAUGUGUUUCGAUCUGGUUGAUCGUGGUUCGGCGUUGUACGCCCUUGCACCUGGCUUCGGCCAUGGCACCGGUCUCUUUUUGCCGGUUUUCGUUGAGCAUAUCAGUAUGAUUUAGUCACAGCACUGUGUAUUCUACACACCAGGUUGGUUUGGCCACCAACCAAGGGGUGUACGUAUCCGGAUAGGUCGUCGGUGACGCAUGAAUAAGCUCACAGUGUCUGCUCUGUGACAGGCAACGCUUGAGCUCUGCGGACCAAUAUAGCAGUAUCAGAUUGGGUUUGGUUUUGGACUAUUCACCUUUGAGGCAUCUGAUCAGUUGAGUUUUUGGUUACAGUAGUAGUUUCAUUCUUGCUCAGUUAUUAUCCUGUUUUUAGUUGCUUUUACGUCAUAUCAUGUUCAUAUCUGUUAUAGCUAUUGUAGUUCGUUUUCAUAUAUCAGCAUCUAUAUUUGUUUAUCUAUCUCCUUUGAUUUCCGGUAAUUACGGCUUGCCUUCGUGGCUCUGUCGUACCCACUGAGAAAACCAUGGUUGCGAUUUCUCACCCCCCAUUUCCCCCCAGGUGACAUAGACGAGGAGUUGGAUUUUAGGCUCGACGAGAGGACGAUAUAGCUAGUCUGGUAUAGCGAUCGCCACCCUGGUUGUAUUUCUUUCCCGCCUUUAGUAGUCAUUUAAAUAAAUGGUUCAGUUAGAUGUUUGAAUGUUGUGAUUUCCGUUAUGCAUGAUUAGAUGAUCUUAUGAUUGUUUAAAUGAGUUGGUUUUCCUCGUAUGCAUGAGAUUAUGGAUGUUUUAUUAUACAUGAGAUUGGAGUUUUCAGAUAUGUGGUUUUGGAUCCUUGGUUUCAGAUUGGAUUUAUACGCUUUGCGGAUUUCUACCCCUCGAGGUAGCUGGUUUUCAAAAUAGAGUUUCCGUGUGGGAAACAGUUUUAAAAAGGUUUUCGAAUGGUUUUUAUGAAUGAAUGAAUUAGAGUUUAAAAACAAAAGCUUCCGUGUGGGGAACACUUUUAAAUAGGAUGAUUGUUGUACUGUGCAUUGCAUCAUCCAGCGCCUAAGGAGUGCUUAGAGAUAUGCAUCAUCUCUAAGGAUUGUUAGCUAUAUGAAAAUGCAUAUCAUUAAUUGACUGUUGAUUGGUAAUUGUAGGUUGUGGUUGUGAUCAUGUUGUAUCGUUGGUACGCCGUGCAAAUACAAAGGAGACUCUGUCCGAGUGGACAGAGAAACUUUGUAUUUGUGGCGGGUCUGUACGUCAUGUGGGCCAGGUUGGAAAAAAAAAAGAAAAAAAAGAAAAAAAGUACAUCUUCCGCGACUCUGAGUUUUCAAAAUGGUAAUGAAUUUUCAAAAUGGCUUUGAAAAUCGGCCCCGGGGCGUGACAAAAUCAUGGAAACUCUAUUUAGCAUAUUGAAUCAAAUUCAGCACCUCAUGCUUCGAAUUUUGAAUGUUGCAAUUGUUUGUUUGAUUAUUAGUUUUGAGAUGAAUAACUCUUUCUCUGUUUUGAAGUUGUGAUAAUAUUUUUGACUUGAGGGUUGCACUAAUUUAGGGGGAGUCUUUCCAAUUUUGGCUAUGAAAAAUUUCUGAAAUUCAAGAUGUGGAAAGAGUUACAUCCCUGCUGAAAGUGUGAAAACUACCACCACAUGGAGAAAAGAGCUACCACCCCGGUCGUCCGGUCAGUGUGUGCAGCUACCAUAUGUUGAUUAACGUAUAUCUAUAAGACAAAAGGAAAGUACUUUUCAGAGAUAAAAAGAAAAAUGCUGAAAGAGCUAUACAUCUCAUAGGUGAUAUAAGGUGGAAUGUUAAUAAAAAGGAUGCUCAAAGAGCCACUCCUGUCUCGAAUAUUGUGCAUAACUCAAUUUGAACAUAUUAUUUUAAUUUCACGAUUCUGAGAAUUAUUUAUACAUUUUCUCUAACAAAUAUGAUGAUAGAACGAUGCAAUUAAUUCCUAGAUCUUGCAUGAUAUGUAGAAUUUUAUUUUAUAUCUAUCUAGAUUUGUCAUUGAUUUUCGGGUCAACAAUUUUGCCAAAUUGAAUAUCUCUGAAAUUGAUUUUUCAAAAUUUAUUUAUGAAAUUUUAUUUGAAGUUUUUGGGCUGGAAAUUGGUUAUUUUUGAUGUUUGAACAUUGUGACAUAUCUUCUAAUUUUUCUGGAAUUUUCGGGCCUCAAUUUGAAAUUUUUAAAAAUUCAGGCUCUGAGACCGGUCCCAGGCGAGAGAGACCGGUCCCUCCGCCAGACCCGAUAAAGGGGUUUCGCACGAUGUGUUUUGUACUGCUUUCAAAUCUAUUUCCUGCCUCCUCUCUUGCGAUUCUCUUGUCUCCAGAUCGGUUUUUUCUCACGCUCUUCGUCGAUUUGCACUGAUUUUAGGUAAGAUUUUUGGAUUUUGUUGCAUUUGUGUCAUAUUCUCCGAAAAUGUAUCUUGUUUCAGAUUUUUUGAUAAGGGUUCUAAAGAUCUUGCUAAAAAUGCAUGUUUAUGCUUCGAUCUUGUUUUGAGACUUGUUGUUUUCAUCUUGUUUGGAAUCUCUUUAUCUUUUUGGUCAAGUUUUGUAGUUUUUUCAUCAUCAAAACCUUGGUUUUCAAAGUUUUCGUGAAAAAUUUGUUUUUGCUGAUUUUGUUGCAUGAUUUGUUCAUGUUUCUCAUGAUUAUGUGGCCCCUAGGAUUAUUUCGUAUUUCUAUACCAAUUUGCUGAAAAUUUUUGGAUUUUACGAAAAAAAAUUAAAAAUACAUGUGUUCCAUAUGUAAAUUUCAUUCUGUUUAACAGGUGCUUUUCGAAAAUGUACUCGUGGAUUCUUGUGCUUGUUGUUCUUAUGGCUGGGGGUGGUCGCGAAAGCAAACGACAGCGCUCCAAAGCUAAACGGCCGAUUGAGUAUCAACCGGAAGAUGAAGAGAGCGAAUAUGCUCCAGGCGACGACUCUGAGGAGGAUGAGCCAGAUUGGGAGGCUUUUGUUCCCGAGGUGUUAGCUAAGGAUAAGGAUACAGGGAAAGGCAAGGGAAAAGGCAAAGCCGUGGAUAAAGGCAAAGGAAAGGCGACUGAACGUCCCGGUCGUCGCAAGUCUGGAGGUGUUGGCAUUAGAGAACACGGUUCUGAGCCUCCGCGUCACAGUCUACAGGAUGUUCCAUCUGCUCGACGGUCAAUGUACUCGUCGAAACACUGCAUUGGUGAGCGAGAUGUUGGGGUUGCAAGUAUCAUUAGCUGUGUGCCGGGAUUUCAGGAUUUAUUUGAACAGGAAAAUCUUCAUCAGAUUUGUGAUUUCCCGAAACAAACCGGUUUUUGUCUGGAGUUGAUCAGAGAAUUUUAUAUGAGAGCAGGUUACCUGAGUGACUCCGACGGCGGCCCGUACGUAUUUAAGACUUCUGUACGUGGUGUUGAGUUAUCAAUCACUCCUGAUACGAUAGCGUCUGUGCUCGGAAUGGACGCAAGAACUGAGGGAGUGGAAUAUCUGCAGGCCGGGUUCGACUCACUUCGCGAUUGGAACCGUAUCGUAAACACUAUUUGUAUGCCGGGUACUGAGUCCAACGGAAUUAUGGUUAUGUCCAAAGAUUUCAAAAUGGAGUAUAGGUUUCUGAAUUUCGUGGUUUGCUACAAUAUUUUGCCGCUUGCGAACACGAAGAUUCUGAGAUGGGAUCGUAUUCUGUAUAUGUAUCUCUUGGGAAGGCCGGAUACUGUAAGUGCCAAAAAUAUUAACAUGAAUAUUCCGUUUCUAAUCUGGCGGAGAAUGGCAAAGGACAUCAAGACUUCUGGGCAAAAUGAAAGACUGCCCUUUCCAUUGAUAAUCAUGAGGAUUCUGCGACUUCAUGACGUGGAUGUCCAGUGUACAUCUUAUGAGCAUAGUUUGGGUCGGAUAAAUGAAAGGACAUUUGUGAAGUCCUCGGUGCAGCUUCGUACCCCGUCUCAGCGUGCUUCUUCCCCUCCUGCUGCUCCACCUCCUGCUACUGCUACUUCUUCACGUCCUUCUAUGGACAUUUUCGAGGAAGAUAUCUCAGUUUUCUCUGUGUAUCGUGAGCAACAACGGUUAUCUGAGGAGCUUCAGAAAUUGUCUGCGGAGCAAGCUGCGAUUCGGAAGGAUGUGAGCAAGAUGAAGCGCUUAUUGAAUAUGAUUUUUGACAAGUUAGGGUGUUGCCGAGCAGAUUUACCUCCAGGGGGUGCUUCUGAUUAGGAGUUGCCGGGUUCCUUCUUUUGUCAUUUUGGCGCUUUCUGACAAAAAGGGGGAGAUGGUGAUGGUGGUGGUUCUUGAUGGUCUCGAUGAUGAUGACCGCAUGACGCAUGCAUUUAGCUUAGAUAAUGCACUUUGCUUAGUUAUGUUAGUUGUGUAAAUUUGACUUGUGCUUGACUAUGAACUAUGACUUGCUGAACUAUGACUUGAUACUUUAUUUAUGUUUGAUCUUGAUAAGUUUACUUGAAUCUUGAUUAUGUUUUAAGAAUGUUUUUGCAGGAAUAAUUCAAGACUUCAAGACUCCAUGUCUAAGUCAUAGAGUCUGUAUUAAGGUUGUAAAAGUGUAAUUUUCAUUUAUUGGAUCGAUCAUGCAGGAGAUUAUCGUUUGGUGAUUGCGAUGAUCUUCUGAAUUAUUAUUUAUGAGUUGUGUAUGAACUUUGUAAUAUAUUUUGUCACGAAAUCGCCAAAGGGGGAAAUUGUUAAGGAUUUUAUAGGUUGGCGGAUUUCGUAAUUUGAGUGGAGUCUUGAAGAGUUGAUUGCGGAAGAUUGAAGAAAAGAUCUAAAUUGAAGGAAAAAGACUCACUCGUAAAGAUCGGCACCUAAGGUAUGAAGAAAAAAUCAUUUGUGGUGAAGAUAUUUGAUUAGAAUAAGUUCAGAAGGCUUAGAUUGUUUUAAAAAUAUUUUACUAAACUUUUCUGUGUUCAGGGUGUCAUGCCCCGGGACCGGCGAAGACCCUCCCGGUAGCGUGCCCAGACCCGCCAUAUGUCUACACAUAUAAGGCGUCUACAAUAAAAGCGGAAGUAAAGCAGGAGAUAGAACAAAUAAAGAAGUGAACUAACUAGCAACUAAUGAUAUCAGAGCAAGUAAAGUUCU
rnacentral:lncRNA from 1 species